rnacentral:lncRNA from 1 species
UUGCCAUUGUCAUGGCUGAUUGUCCCGUUCUGUUGUUCGGAUGUCCCAUUCUGGUGGCCGUUCCGAUGUUCGGAAGUGCCAUUCUGGUGCCCGUUUUGGUGUUUGGAAAUGCCAUUCUGGUAGCCGUUGAGGUGUUCGGAAGAGCCAUUUUGGUGGCCGUUCAUGGGAAUGGUACCAUUCUUGAAGAUGGUAGAGCCAUUUGUGUUGGUAGAUAUGACUUCCAUUUUCAAAAUUAAACUAAACAAAUUGAAGAAGAGAAAGUAUUAUGGUUUGUAUUUUCCG